CAGUCGAGGGGUAGAUGUCUUCGGCCAUUGAGACCGGCGCACGGGUGCGUAACGCGUAUGCAAUCUGCCUUGUACAGAGGGAUAGCCCAGAGAAAUUUGGAUUAAUACCUCAUAGUAUUAUUGAAUGGCAUCAUUUGAUAAUUAAAGUUCCAACGGUACAAGAUGAGCAUGCGUCCUAUUAGCUAGUUGGUGUGGUAACGGCAUACCAAGGCUACGAUAGGUAGGGGUCCUGAGAGGGAGAUCCCCCACACUGGUACUGAGACACGGACCAGACUCAUACGGGAGGCAGCAGUGAGGAAUAUUGGACAAUGGGCGCAAGCCUGAUCCAGCCAUGCCGCGUGCAGGAAGACGCAUCUAUGGUGUGUAAACUGCUUUUGUACGGGAAGAAACACUCCUUCGUGAAGGAGCUUGACGGUACCGUAAGAAUAAGGAUCGGCUAACUCCGUGCCAGCAGCCGCGGUAAUACGGAGGAUCCAAGCGUUAUCCGGAAUCAUUGGGUUUAAAGGGUCUGUAGGCGGUUUGAUAAGUCAGUGGUGAAAGCCCAUCGCUCAACGAUGGAACGGCCAUUGAUACUGUCAGACUUGAAUUACUAGGAAGUAACUAGAAUAUGUAGUGUAGCGGUGAAAUGCUUAGAUAUUACAUGGAAUACCAAUUGCGAAGGCAGGUUACUACUAGUGGAUUGACGCUGAUGGACGAAAGCGUGGGGAGCGAACAGGAUUAGAUACCCUG
rnacentral:rRNA from 2 species